UGGGGAAUAUUGGACAAUGGGCGAAAGCCUGAUCCAGCCAUGCCGCGUGUGUGAAGAAGGCCUUUUGGUUGUAAAGCACUUUAAGCGAGGAGGAGGCUACUUGGAUUAAUACUCUAGGAUAGUGGACGUUACUCGCAGAAUAAGCACCGGCUAACUCUGUGCCAGCAGCCGCGGUAAUACAGAGGGUGCGAGCGUUAAUCGGAUUUACUGGGCGUAAAGCGUGCGUAGGCGGCUUUUUAAGUCGGAUGUGAAAUCCCUGAGCUUAACUUAGGAAUUGCAUUCGAUACUGGGAAGCUAGAGUAUGGGAGAGGAUGGUAGAAUUCCAGGUGUAGCGGUGAAAUGCGUAGAGAUCUGGAGGAAUACCGAUGGCGAAGGCAGCCAUCUGGCCUAAUACUGACGCGGAGGUACGAAAGCAUGGGGAGCAAACAGG
rnacentral:rRNA from 1 species